GAAUGUUUCCAUAGCGCGUUGAGUUCACCGGUCAUCCUCCGAUCAAGUUAAGCAACUUCGGGCGCAGUCAGCACUUGGAUGGGUGACCGCCUGGGAACACCGUGUGACGUUGG
rnacentral:rRNA from 1 species